UACGAAGGGGGGCUAGCGUUGCUCGGAAUCACUGGGCGUAAAGCGCACGUAGGCGGACUCUUAAGUCGGUGGUGAAAUCCUGGAGCUCAACUCCAGAACUGCCUUUGAUACUGAGGAUCUUGAGACCGGGAGAGGUGAGUGGAAUUCCCAGUGUAGCGGUGAAAUGCGUAGAUAUUGGGAGGAACACCAGUGGCGAAGGCGGCUCACUGGACCGGUACUGACGCUGAGGCGCGAAAGCGUGGGGAGCAAACAGG
rnacentral:rRNA from 1 species